UUUUUUUUUUUUGGUGAAAAAAGCCAACUUAAGAAAAACUAAUUACAUAGAAGAGUUUUGAACCACAAGGAUACGCACAAUUGGGCUAGCAAUGGCUUUGAACCUUCCAAAUUGUAAAUUUUCUCAUUAUUUCUUUUAACAUUUUAUAAAAUUACAAGUUAAUAUAAUAUAAAAAUCUAUUAUUUUAUUUAAGUCCCUAACACAAUUUUCUAACUUCACCCAACUUCACCCACGAUAAUUAGAUUAUGAAUGUACAACAACCUUUGUCAUUAAGAUUAAAUCUAUAAGCCCCAAAGUCUCUAAUUAAAUUUAAAUUUGAAUAAAGUAAAAUCUAUUUUAGAAGAAAUCAUUCUUAAAAUUAUUUUAUUCAUUCACAAGACUCCAACAUAAAAUUUUAUUCCACUUAACCAUUAUUCUAUCAAUUUUGUUUGGGGUUAUUCUAAAUAUGUGUCCACAUAGAUAAGGAAUCUCCCCUUAAUUUCCUUUAGCCAAAUAAUGGUAGUAAAGGUGAAAAGCAGUGUUGUACAAAAGCACGACCAUUCCUCGAUCGGUCACCUUCAACUUUGUUCCUUCCUUUCGUAUAUCACCAAUUCCAUUUACAGCAAAACAACUUUGCCACAAAUCACUCCACCAAUAUCAUGGAUCUCUUUGGACUUUUUUCGGUAAAAAUAUUAUUGAAGUCCUUAUAUUAAAUGUCAUAUUAGAUUUUACCCAUUCUAUUAAAAAAAUAGGCACUUUCUGUUAAAAAUUUUAUUUAUUUAUACUAUUAAAAACUGAUAUGAUUAAUAGAAUAAUCAAACUAUCACAAUUAUCAUGUCAUGUGUAUCUCAUACUGAUAUAUAUGAAAAAGUUUUUAACAAUAGAAGUGAUUGAAGUUUAUAACAGAAUAACUAAUUUACUUUUUAAUCUAAUAAGUUAAUUUGUCUAUUAUUCUAAUAGAAAGGAUGAAAUGCAAAUUGGCUCCUACUAUGAGUGCCUCCACAUGAUUUUACUUUUUUUCUUUUCUUUUUCUUUUUCUUUUCCAAGCUAUAGACACGUAGAAAGGGUACGUAUACAAAUAUAGCACAGAGUAGCUACUAUUUCUUGCUUUAAAGUUAUCAUCGCUCAAGUUUCACAAGAACAAUUUCUUGAUUUUGCUAACAGAAAUAUAUAUAUAUAAACCAAAGAAGAAGUGAAGAACCUAAUCUUCAUUUAUUAAAUGUUUAUUGAUCUGACAUGCUCAUAUUUUACAUAUAUAUUUUAACCAUAUGAUUGGUUAAUAUUAACCAUGUCAAAGAUUAAAAAAGAAGAUAUUGCAUGUACUGAAAAGAUACGGUCUUUUCCUAGUAGUACUCCCACGCGAAUGGCUCCUCGAUCCUGAAACCAGCAUCGACUGCACAUACUUGCCAUGUUGAAGAAUAAGAGCAGAACCCAUCGCUUCGAUCGAUGGCAUCAAUCGUGAGAUCGGGCAAAUCAAACAAGGCAGCAUCGUCUUCAAAGGGUGAAGUACUACACAUAUUGUCCGAACGUGAAACCGGAACUUGUUCUUGCCUCGGUCGACGACUGACUUUGUCUUCGGGUUCAAUGUUGUUGCUCCACCGCGAUGUGUCGAGAUAUGUUGAAGCAGCUGCUUGGGAAGCAGCGGCUUGGAUUUCCUUAGGAGAUGUACUAGCGGGGCGUGGAAGUGUUUUUGCAAGUUCGGGGAAGUUAAGGUGAGCCGAGCUGCCUUUGAUGGCUAGUGCGUCUACAUCGUGGGCUCGAGCUGCCAUUUCUGCGGUGGGGUAAGUCCCGAGCCAUAUUCUCAAUUUCUUUUUUGGUUGUCGGAUUUCGGACACCCAUUUGCCCCAACUCCGCAUUCGUACACCACGGUAUACCGGUUGCUUCCUUUCCAAGUCUCCUACAGCUUUCUUUGAACCUUUAAUAGCUACACUGUUUUUUGAAGUUUUCUUGUUUUGAUUAGGACCCGAAACGGAGAAUGUGAUGGAGGUGGCCACGGUGGUGGUGGUAGAGAUGACGGAAGAAGAAGUAAGCGGGUUAUUAUAAUGAGCAUCAUUCUCAAUGUUGAUAUCCCUUUCCAUGACAGAUAGAAAGAUGCCUAGUUUUUUGUU
rnacentral:lncRNA from 1 species